GACGAACGCUGGCGGCGUGCUUAACACAUGCAAGUCGAACGGAAAGGCCCUGCUUUUGUGGGGUGCUCGAGUGGCGAACGGGUGAGUAACACGUGAGUAACCUGCCCUUGACUUUGGGAUAACUUCAGGAAACUGGGGCUAAUACCGGAUAGGAGCUCCUGCUGCAUGGUGGGGGUUGGAAAGUUUCGGCGGUUGGGGAUGGACUCGCGGCUUAUCAGCUUGUUGGUGGGGUAGUGGCUUACCAAGGCUUUGACGGGUAGCCGGCCUGAGAGGGUGACCGGCCACAUUGGGACGGAGAUACGGCCCAGACUCCUACGGGAGGCGGCAGUGGGGAAUAUUGCACAAUGGGCGGAAGCCUGAUGCAGCAACGCCGCGUGCGGGAUGACGGCCUUCGGGUUGUAAACCGCUUUCGCCUGUGACGAAGCGUGAGUGACGGUAAUGGGUAAAGAAGCACCGGCUAACUACGUG
rnacentral:rRNA from 1 species